rnacentral:rRNA from 1 species
UACGAGAGCCUCGAGCGUUAUCCGGAAUUAUUGGGCGUAAAGGGUGCGUAGGUUGUUCUGUUAGUCCUCUGUCAAAGCCCCGGGCUUAACCUGGGAUUCGCGGUGGAAACGGCAGAACUUGAAAGUGCGAGAGGCGUACGGAACUCAUGGUGUAGGAGUGAAAUCCGUUGAUAUCAUGGGGAACACCAAAAGCGAAAGCAGUACGCUGGCGCAUAUUUGACACUGAAGCACGAAAGCAUGGGUAGCGAAUGGG